rnacentral:rRNA from 1 species
GACGAACGCUGGCGGCGUGCUUAACACAUGCAAGUCGAACGGAAAGGCCCUGCUUUUGUGGGGUGCUCGAGUGGCGAACGGGUGAGUAACACGUGAGUAACCUGCCCUUGACUUUGGGAUAACUUCAGGAAACUGGGGCUAAUACCGGAUAGGAGCUCCUGCUGCAUGGUGGGGGUUGGAAAGUUUCGGCGGUUGGGGAUGGACUCGCGGCUUAUCAGCUUGUUGGUGGGGUAGUGGCUUACCAAGGCUUUGACGGGUAGCCGGCCUGAGAGGGUGACCGGCAACAUGGGGAAGGAGGUACGGCCGAGCCCCCCAGGGGGGACACGGGGGGGAAUUAGUGCACAGGGGGGGGGGGCCGGACACAGCAGCCCCGGGGGGGGAGGGGGGGGUUUGGGUGUGAAACCGGUUUGCGCCGGGCACGAAGUGGGGGGGAGGGGAAGGGAAAAAGAAGCCCCGGCAACCUCCGUC